CAGGAAUCAUUCUCCAAUUAGAUCGUUUUCUAUAUCAAAAAUGAGUCUAAAUGUGAGACAAAAACUCCAGCGCAAAACUUUUUUGGUUGGAAAAUGAUUUAUGAUCAUAUCUUGACUAAAUUUGAUCCCUUUGACACCUUCCUUCAUUCAGUUGGCUUCUAGAACUCUCAGACCUUCAUUUCAAGUUUCGACACGACUUUUGAUUA
rnacentral:lncRNA from 1 species